UCUGAGGAAUAUAAGGUCAUCGAGUAAGUUGCUAUGAAAUCAGUGCAACUUUUAUUUCUAUUUUCUAAUACAAACCUGAUUUUAACAUACAUUUUUUUUUUCUCUUCUAUUACUUAUUUUCACAUAAUGAACAUGGCUAUUCAUGUGAUAAUAUGUGAUAAGGUGAAGCAUGUGAGAUAAUCACCCAUGAAAAUCAUGAUAUGCUGUUCUACCAGGUUAAUAUUUUUAGAAUGGUGGCAUGGACAACAAGAAGCCAAAGGAAAAAUAAAAUUAAGCAAUCAAGAAGCUUAAAAUUAUGGGAGGAGUUUUAAAUAACAGAGUUGGAAAUGGUUUCGGAAUUGGAAAGAGCAUAUUAGAAUCAGUUUGAAUAAGUCUAAAAUGGACCAAAUCAGCUGCUAACUUCUUGAAUUUUUCUAAAAACCAUAACCAAGAUGACAUAUUUGAAUUUAAAAUACUGGUGUA
rnacentral:misc_RNA from 1 species